rfam:Marvinbryantia formatexigens DSM 14469 B_formatexigens-1.0.1_Cont3.1, whole genome shotgun sequence.
UUUUUAUGCUAGGGGAGCCUUUGGCUGAGAAAGCACUGCGGUGCUGACCCUCACUACUUGAACCGGGUAAUACCGGCGUAAGGAAGCAGACUACCGAAGAA